rnacentral:rRNA from 1 species
UACAGAGGGGGCAAGCGUUAUUCGGAAUUAUUGGGCGUAAAGGGCGCGCAGGCGGUCGUUCAAGUCGCGUGUGAAAGCCCCCGGCUCAACUGGGGAGGGUCACGCGAUACUGAUCGACUCGAAGGCAGGAGAGGGAAGUGGAAUUCCCGGUGUAGUGGUGAAAUGCGUAGAUAUCGGGAGGAACACCUAUGGCGAAGGCAGCUCGCUGGGACGUUACUGACGCUGAGACGCGAAAGCGUGGGGAGCAAACAGG